rnacentral:pre_miRNA from 1 species
AGCCAAUGAUGACAGAGCUGUCUGGGUCUAUAUAAUAGUGAGCUCAGUCUUUAUCGGCGGG